rnacentral:rRNA from 1 species
UACGUAGGGUGCAAGCGUUGUCCGGAAUUAUUGGGCGUAAAGAGCUCGUAGGCGGUUUGUCGCGUCUGCCGUGAAAGUCCGGGGCUCAACUCCGGAUCUGCGGUGGGUACGGGCAGGGCUAGAGGUAGGUAGGGGAGAAUGGAAUUCCCGGUGUAGCGGUGAAAUGCGCAGAUAUCGGGAGGAACACCGGUGGCGAAGGCGGUUCUCUGGGCCUUACCUGACGCUGAGGCAGCGAAAGCGUGGGGAGCGAACAGG